CUUAAGGGGCCGUGCCCGGGCCGCUGGGGGCAGUGCCAAGAUGUCGACGGCGGCGGUGCCCGAGCUGAAGCAGAUCAGCCGGGUAGAGGCGAUGCGCUUGGGUCCGGGCUGGAGCCACUCAUGCCACGCCAUGCUGUAUGCCGCCAACCCCGGGCAGCUCUUCGGCCGCAUCCCUAUGCGCUUCUCGGUGCUGAUGCAGAUGCGCUUCGACGGGCUGCUGGGCUUCCCCGGCGGCUUCGUGGACCGGCGCUUCUGGUCGCUGGAGGACGGCCUGAACCGGGUGCUGGGCCUGGGCCUAGGCUGCCUGCGCCUCACCGAGGCUGACUACCUGAGCUCGCACCUGACCGAGGGCCCGCACCGCGUCGUGGCGCACCUGUACGCGCGCCAGCUGACGCUGGAGCAGCUGCACGCUGUGGAGAUCAGCGCGGUGCACUCGCGCGACCACGGCCUGGAGGUGGGGCCGCCGCCUGGGCCCCGCCCCCCACCCCGGGGUUUGGCUCUGGCCCCGUGGAAGGCAUCGAUGGGUGCUGGGGCUCGUGCGGGUCCCGCUCUACACCCAGAAGGAUCGAGUCGGCGGCUUCCCCAACUUCCUGAGCAACGCCUUCAUCAGCACAGCCAAGUACCAGCUCCUCUUCGCUCUCAAGGUGCUCAACAUGAUGCCCGAGGAGAAGCUGGCUGAGGCCUUGGCUGCGGCCACUGAGAAGCAGAAGAAGGCCCUAGAGAAGCUUCUCCCGUCUUCCUCCUGAGCACAGUCUGCAAGCACCUCCAGGGGACGGUCUGGAAGCACCGGCUGAGUGCAGAAUGACACCAGCAGAGCCACUGCAGACAGGAAGGUCACCACUGGCGGUCUCCUAUGGCCCUGUGUCUGGAAAGUUUCCACAGCACCUGCUGGGCCUGGUAAGGAAAGCAGUGCCCCCACCCAGCUGGGGGGGUCUGUUCACCUUAGAGCCUCCAUGAAGCAGCCAGCGUUGUGGGCAAAGGCACUUCACUCUGUAAAUAAAACUCCUGGACCUUGCUCCUAUCUCA